rnacentral:rRNA from 1 species
UACGUAGGUGGCAAGCGUUGUUCGGAAUUACUGGGCGUAAAGGGCGCGUAGGCGGCCUGUGCAAGUCAGUUGUGAAAUCUCCGAGCUUAACUCGGAACGGUCAACUGAUACUGCUCGGCUAGAGUGCGGAAGGGGCAACUGGAAUUCUUGGUGUAGCGGUGAAAUGCGUAGAUAUCAAGAGGAACACCUGCGGCGAAGGCGGGUUGCUGGGCCGACACUGACGCUGGAGGCGCGAAAGACUAGGGGAGCGAACGGG